UACGUAGGGGGCUAGCGUUGCUCGGAAUUACUGGGCGUAAAGCGCGUGUAGGCGGCCCUGCAAGUCGGAUGUGAAAUCCCACGGCUCAACCGUGGAAGUGCAUUCGAAACUGCAGGGCUAGAGUCCUGGAGAGGAAGGUGGAAUGCUUGGUGUAGAGGUGAAAUUCGUAGAUAUCAAGCGGAACACCGGUGGCGAAGGCGGCCUUCUGGACAGUGACUGACGCUGAGACGCGAAAGCGUGGGGAGCAAACAGG
rnacentral:rRNA from 1 species